GACAGAGGGUGCAAACGUUGCUCGGAAUUACUGGGCGUAAAGCGCGUGUAGGCGGGCCGGAAAGUCGGGCGUGAAAUCCCUGGGCUCAACCCAGGAACUGCACUCGAAACUUCCGGUCUAGAGUGGUGGAGAGGGAAGUGGAAUUCCUGGUGUAGGGGUGAAAUUCGUAGAUAUCAGGAGGAACACCAGUGGCGAAGGCGGCUUCCUGGACACCAACUGACGCUGAGACGCGAAAGCGUGGGGAGCAAACAGG
rnacentral:rRNA from 1 species